rnacentral:rRNA from 1 species
GCUACGGGUGGCAGCAGUGGGGAAUAUUGGGCAAUGGGCGCAAGCCUGAACCAGCCACGCCGCGUGAAGGAAGAAGGCUUUCGGGUUGUAAACUUCUUUUCUCAGGGACGAAACAAGUGACGGUACCUGAGGAAUAAGCCACGGCUAACUACGUGCCAGCAGCCGCGGUAAUACGUAGGUGGCAAGCGUUAUGCGGAUUUCCUGGGUGUAAAGUGCGUGUAGGCGGGACUGGAAGUCAGAUGGGAAAACCACGGGCUGAACCUGGGGCCUUGAUUUGAAACUGUAGUUCUUGAGUACUGGAGAGUGAGACGGAAUUCCUAGUGUAGCGGUGAAAUGAGUAGAUAUUACGAGGAACACCAGUGGCGAAGGCGGUCUGCUGGACAGCAACUGACGCUGAGGCGCGAAAGCGUGGGGAGCAAACAGGAUUAGAUACCCGAGUAGUC